GAUGAACGCUGGCGGCGUGCCUAAUACAUGCAAGUCGAGCGAACGGACGAGAAGCUUGCUUCUCUGAUGUUAGCGGCGGACGGGUGAGUAACACGUGGAUAACCUACCUAUAAGACUGGGAUAACUUCGGGAAACCGUAGCUAAUACCGCAUAAUAUUUUGAACCGCAUGGUUCAAAAGUGAAAGACGGUCUUGCUGUCACUUAUAGAUGGAUCCGCGCUGCAUUAGCUAGUUGGUAAGGUAACGGCUUACCAAGGCAACGAUGCAUAGCCGACCUGAGAGGGUGAUCGGCCACACUGGAACUGAGACACGGUCCAGACUCCUACGGGAGGCAGCAGUAGGGAAUCUUCCGCAAUGGGCGAAAGCCUGACGGAGCAACGCCGCGUGAGUGAUGAAGGUCUUCGGAUCGUAAAACUCUAUUAUUAGGGAAGAACAUAUGUGUAAGUAACUGUGCACAUCUUGACGGGACCUAAUCAGAAAGCCACGGCUAACUACGU
rnacentral:rRNA from 1 species